rnacentral:rRNA from 1 species
AGGAACCUGCCUCAAAGAGGGGGACAACAGUUGGAAACGACUGCUAAUACCGCAUAAGCCCACAGCUCGGCAUCGAGCAGGGGGAAAAGGAGUGAUCCGCUUUGAGAUGGCCUCGCGUCCGAUUAGCUAGUUGGUGAGGUAACGGCCCACCAAGGCGACGAUCGGUAGCCGGACUGAGAGGUUGAACGGCCACAUUGGGACUGAGACACGGCCCAGACUCCUACGGGAGGCAGCAGUGGGGAAUAUUGCACAAUGGGGGAAACCCUGAUGCAGCGACGCCGCGUGGAGGAAGAAGGUCUUCGGAUUGUAAACUCCUGUUGUUGAGGAAGAUAAUGACGGUACUCAACAAGGAAGUGACGGCUAACUACGUGCCAGCAGCCGCGGUAAAACGUAGGUCACAAGCGUUGUCCGGAAUUACUGGGUGUAAAGGGAGCGCAGGCGGGAGAACAAGUUGGAAGUGAAAUCCAUGGGCUCAACCCAUGAACUGCUUUCAAAACUGUUUUUCUUGAGUAGUGCAGAGGUAGGCGGAAUUCCCGGUGUAGCGGUGGAAUGCGUAGAUAUCGGGAGGAACACCAGUGGCGAAGGCGGCCUACUGGGCACCAACUGACGCUGAGGCUCGAAAGUGUGGGUAGCAAACAGGAUUAGAUACCCUGGUAGUCCACACCGUAAACGAUGAUUACUAGGUGUUGGAGGAUUGACCCCUUCAGUG